rnacentral:rRNA from 1 species
UACGUAGGGUGCAAGCGUUGUCCGGAAUUAUUGGGCGUAAAGAGCUCGUAGGCGGCCGGUUGCGUCUGCUGUGAAAUCCCGGGGCUUAACCCCGGGCGUGCAGUGGAUACGGGCUGGCUGGAGGCAGGCAGGGGAGAAUGGAAUUCCCGGUGUAGCGGUGAAAUGCGCAGAUAUCGGGAGGAACACCGGUGGCGAAGGCGACUUCCUGGCCUGUUCUUGACGCUGAGGCGCGAAAGCUAGGGGAGCAAACGGG